rnacentral:rRNA from 1 species
GAUGAACGCUAGCGGCAGGCCUAACACAUGCAAGUCGAGGGAGAAGCCUUUCGGGGCAGAAACCGGCGCACGGGUGCGUAACGCGUAUGCAACCUACCUUUCACAGGGGGAUAGCCCGAAGAAAUUUGGAUUAAUACCCCAUAAUAUUGUUGGAUGGCAUCAUCUGAUAAUUAAAACUGCGGUGGUGAAAGAUGGGCAUGCGUCCUAUUAGCUAGUUGGAGUGGUAACGGCACCCCAAGGCUACGAUAGGUAGGGGUCCUGAGAGGGAGAUCCCCCACACUGGUACUGAGACAGGGACCAGACUCCUACGGGAGGCAGCAGUGAGGAAUAUUGGUCAAUGGUCGGAAGACUGAACCAGCCAUGCCGCGUGCAGGAAGAACGCCUUAUGGGUUGUAAACUGCUUUUAUAUGGGAAGAAUAAGGUGUACGUGUACAUUGAUGACGGUACCAUAUGAAUAAGCAUCGGCUAACUCCGUG